rnacentral:rRNA from 1 species
GCCAGAGGUGGCAAUCGUUGUUCGGAAUUACUGGGCGUAAAGAGUCUGUAGGUGGUUUGUCAAGUCUUUGGUGAAAGGCCGUAGCUUAACUAUGGGAAUGCCAAAGAGACUGGCAGGCUGGAGGCUGGGAGAGGGAAGCGGAAUUUCUGGUGUAGCGGUGAAAUGCGUAGAUAUCAGAAGGAAGGCCGGUGGCGAAGGCGGCUUCCUGGAACAGUCCUGACACUGAGAGACGAAAGCGUGGGGAGAAAACAGG